GAUGAACGCUGGCGGCGUGCCUAAUACAUGCAAGUCGAGCGAACAGACGAGGAGCUUGCUCCUCUGACGUUAGCGGCGGACGGGUGAGUAACACGUGGAUAACCUACCUAUAAGACUGGGAUAACUUCGGGACACCGGAGCUAAUACCGGAUAAUAUAUUGAACCGCAUGGUUCAAUAGUGAAAGACGGUUUUGCUGUCACUUAUAGAUGGAUCCGCGCCGCAUUAGCUAGUUGGUAAGGUAACGGCUUACCAAGGCAACGAUGCGUAGCCGACCUGAGAGGGUGAUCGGCCACACUGGAACUGAGACACGGUCCAGACUCCUACGGGAGGCAGCAGUAGAGAAUCUUCCGCAAUGGGCGAAAGCCUGACGGAGCAACGCCGCGUGAGUGAUGAAGGUCUUCGGAUCGUAAAACUCUGUUAUUAGGGAAGAACAAAUGUGUAAGUAACUAUGCACGUCUUGACGGUACCUAAUCAGAAAGCCACGGCUAACUACGUG
rnacentral:rRNA from 1 species